UACGGAGGGUGCAAGCGUUAUCCGGAUUCACUGGGUUUAAAGGGUGCGUAGGAGGGCAGGUAAGUCAGUGGUGAAAUCUCCGAGCUUAACUUGGAAACUGCCGUUGAUACUAUCUGUCUUGAAUAUUGUGGAGGUGAGCGGAAUACGUCAUGUAGCGGUGAAAUGCUUAGAUAUGACAUAGAACACCAAUUGCGAAGGCAGCUCACUACUCAAUCAUUGACUCUGAGGCACGAAAGCGUGGGGAUCAAACAGG
rnacentral:rRNA from 1 species